UACGAAGGGUGCAAGCGUUACUCGGAAUUACUGGGCGUAAAGCGUGCGUAGGUGGUUGUUUAAGUCUGUUGUGAAAGCCCUGGGCUCAACCUGGGAACUGCAGUGGAAACUGGACAACUAGAGUGUGGUAGAGGGUAGCGGAAUUCCCGGUGUAGCAGUGAAAUGCGUAGAGAUCGGGAGGAACACCAGUGGCGAAAGCGGCUUCCUGGUCCAGCACCGACGUUCAGGCACGAAAGCGUGGGGAGCAAACAGG
rnacentral:rRNA from 1 species